UACGGAGGGGGCUAGCGUUGUUCGGAAUUACUGGGCGUAAAGCGCACAUAGGCGGCUUUGUAAGUUAGAGGUGAAAGCCCAGGGCUUAACCCUGGAAUUGCCUUUAAGACUGCAUCGCUAGAAUCGUGGAGAGGUGAGUGGAAUUCCGAGUGUAGAGGUGAAAUUCGUAGAUAUUCGGAAGAACACCAGUGGCGAAGGCGACUCACUGGACACGUAUUGACGCUGAGGUGCGAAAGCGUGGGGAGCAAACAGG
rnacentral:rRNA from 1 species